GGUUAUAGUUCAGUUGGUAGAAUGCUUGUCUUGUAUGCUCAAAGCCCUGGGUUCAAUCCCCAGAAUCA
rnacentral:tRNA from 1 species